rnacentral:rRNA from 1 species
UACGAAGGGGCUAGCGUUGUUCGGAUUUACUGGGCGUAAAGCGCACGUAGGCGGAUCGUUAAGUCAGGGGUGAAAUCCUGGAGCUCAACUCCAGAACUGCCUUUGAUACUGGCGAUCUUGAGUCCGGAAGAGGUGAGUGGAACUCCUAGUGUAGAGGUGGAAUUCGUAGAUAUUAGGAAGAACACCAGUGGCGAAGGCGGCUCACUGGUCCGGUACUGACGCUGAGGUGCGAAAGCGUGGGAGCA